rnacentral:tRNA from 1 species
GGCCUGGUAGUUCAGCUGGUUAGAACGCUAGCCUGUCACGCUAGAGGUCGUCGGUUCGAGCCCGAUCCAGGUCG